GGGAUAGAAAAGCAGGGAGCAAAACCACAACAUAACACUUCCAUAAUUCAACAGAAUUACAAACAGAGGUCUACGGCCAAAAGUCUACAAAAGACCGGCUCUUAAAAUGAAUUGUCCUACGACCUACAAGUCGGACACGUUCUCAAAUCUUAUGACUUCACCUCUGCAACUCCUCAAUGCCAACCAAAGCUAUCUGGCCGCUCCGUUCACCGGGGACCUGAAAUGGUUAUUCAAUAACCACUGAGACAACGUCUCAGCAAGUUCAACCCCCUAAACCCCUAUUAGAAAGAAAAUACGCCCAAGGGUGGCCUAGCCACAUCACACAGAAGACUUACCUCGCCUCAGCCUUCAUCUGCAGGUUAGCACAAUUUAUAUAAUUCAACCACGUACAAUUAUGAUAACCAAACAACCAUGGCUCAAUCACAUUAUCAAAACAAUUCAACCACUUGGAUCGUCUCAACGAUCAAUCGACUCGGCCGAUUACAGGUCAUUCUAGCAAAUCAAUCAUUGCUCACAAUCACGGCCCACUAGGCCAACAUUAGAAUCAGUGGCAUCACGGCCCCACUCGGCGCGACCUUUAACAGGUGGCAAUUCACGGCCCCACUGGGCGCGACCUUUAUCAGGUGGCAUAUCACGGCCCCAUCGGGCGCGACCUCUAAUAGGUGGCAUAUAACGGCCCCAUCGAGCGCGACCUCUAAUAGGUGGCAUAUCACGGCCCCAUCGGGCGCGACCUCUAAUAGGUGGCAUAUCACGGCCCCAUCGGGCGCGACCUCUAGUAGGUGGCAUAUAACGGCCCCAUCGGGCGCGACCUCUAGUAGGUGGCAUAUCACGGCCCCAUCGGGCGCGACCUCUAGUAGGUGGCAUAUCACGGCCAAUCGCCCAUCAAUUUCCACACUUAGAAAUUUAUAAAGAAUCCAUAUAUAUCGAAAUCACAUUCAAUUCGCCACAACCAAUCAUAAAUAUCAAAUUCUAAAUGCACAGCAGCGAUCGGCACGAAAUUCUGAGCAACCGGGGUCAAAAAUAAUUUUUCUGAUUUUUUUUUUAUAAAAAUAAUAUUUUAAUAAUUUCGGAUUAUAAUAUAAUAUUAUAUUUUCCAGAAUUUCGAAGCACUUAAAUAAUUCAAAACUAAAAUCAUUUUGUGUCACAUCAAGGCUUAACUUUAAAUAAACUCCCUUAGCAUUUAAUUAAACAUACUUUAGAUUAAACAAACAUCUUAAUCUAAAUCAUAAUUAAAUCAACUAAAUUAACCACCUAAGCUUAAUCAACUUAAGCUAAGCACACCUAAAGCAUAAUUAACCCUCUAAGCGAGGUUUAGUGAGCUAAACUCACCGGAUUAGCGAGCCGAGCGGACCAAAACGACGAGCACGACGCGAGGAUCGACUUUCCUCAAAGCGGGCCGAGCAUCCGAGCUCGGGAAGGCGGCCAAAACGAGCCAAACGUCCGCUGCAUACCCAUUUUCCAACUCUCUGCUCACUGCUGGUUGGGGCCGAAAAUGAGCAGAUCCGGGGCUGGUUGGGGUCGGGAGUGGGCGGAGGAGCUAUGGCGGUGGCUGGUGGCGACGAACGGCGGUGCACGGCGGCGACGAACGAGCUCCGGCAGCUCUUGCGCGAGCUGAACAGCAGCUUGGGACGACGAGCUGGGCAAAGCGGGCGGAGCGGCGCCCGGGCGCGGGCUUCACGCGGACGACGAUGGUAGCGGCGAGCUUCGGCGACGGGCCGACGGCGAUUCGGCUGGGCUACAGCCCGCUUCGACACCUCCUCAGAUCUGCUGGGUUUUCAAGCAGAAACCGGAGCCGGAGAAGAGAGGAGAGAGGGCGACGGUGGCGCGGCCGGUGGUGCGGGCGGACGGCGAGCAGCUUGGCGGUGCAAACGGCGGCGAAGGAGGCGGACGGCGAGGGGCUACCUCGGCUUCUUCCUCUGCAAUUUUUCUGGUCUUUCGCACAAAGAAGAUGGAGGAGAAGCCAACGGAAGGGAGAGAGGAAGGAGAGAGAAGGAGGAGAGAGAGAGAU
rnacentral:lncRNA from 1 species